rnacentral:tRNA from 1 species
GCGCCCGUAGCUCAACUGGAUAGAGCACUAGUCUUCGGAACUAGGGGUUGUGGGUUCGACUCCUUCCGGGCGCG